CCUACGGGAGGCAGCAGUGAGGAAUAUUGGUCAAUGGGCGCGAGCCUGAACCAGCCAAGUAGCGUGAAGGAUGACUGCCCUACGGGUUGUAAACUUCUUUUAUAAAGGAAUAAAGUGAGGCACGUGAGCCUUUUUGUAUGUACUUUAUGAAUAAGGAUAGGCUAACUCCGUGCCAGCAGCCGCGGUAAUACGGGGGAUCCGAGCGUUAUCCGGAUUGAUUGGGUUUAAAGGGAGCGUGGAUGGGUUGUUAAGUCAGUUGUGAAAGUUUGCGGCACAACCCUGUCGAGCCGUCGGAACUGGCAGUCUGGAGUGGGCGAGAAGUAUGCGGAAUGCGUGGUGUAGCGGUGAAAUGCAUAGAUAGCACGAAGAACGCCGAUUGCGAAGGCAGCAAACCGGCGCCCAACUGACGCUGAGGAACGAAAGCGUGGGGAUCGAACAGGAUUAGAUACCCGAGUAGUC
rnacentral:rRNA from 1 species